rnacentral:misc_RNA from 1 species
GAUGAAGAACGCAGCGAAAUGCGAUAAGUAAUGUGAAUUGCAGAAUUCAGUGAAUCAUCGAAUCUUUGAACGCACCUUGCACCCUUUGGCAUUCUGAAGGGUAUGCUCGUUUGAGUGUCAUUGUACUCUCACACUCCCGAUCUUUGCAUUGGGAGCAGUGGACUUGGGUUUGCUGCUUCACCGUCGCUUACCUCAAAUAGGUUAGUGCAACUCUUGGUUGGACAUAGUACGGCGUGAUAAGUGUUCUUCGCCGGUGCCUCGCAAAGAGGGUGGCCGAUCGGGAUGUUGUGCUCCAAACCGUCUUCGGACAAUCUCUGACGACUUGACCUCAAAUCGAGUAAGACUACCCGCUGAACUUAAGCAUAUCAAUAAGCGGA